rnacentral:rRNA from 1 species
AGUGAACGCUGGCGGUAGGCCUAACACAUGCAAGUCGAACGGCAGCACAGUAAGAGCUUGCUCUUACGGGUGGCGAGUGGCGGACGGGUGCGGAAUACAUCGGAAUCUACUUUUUCGUGGGGGCUAACGUAGGGAAACUUACGCUAAUACCGCAUACGACCUACGGGUGAAAGCAGGGGAUCUUCGGCCCUUGCGCGAUUGAAUGAGCCGAUGUCGGAUUAGCUAGUUGCCGGGGUAAAGGCCCACCAAGGCGACGAUCCGUAGCUGGUCUGAGAGGAUGAUCAGCCACACUGGAACUGAGACACGGUCCAGACUCCUACGGGAGGCAGCAGUGGGGAAUAUUGGACAAUGGGCGCAAGCCUGAUCCAGCCAUACCGCGUGGGUGAAGAAGGCCUUCGGGUUGUAAAGCCCUUUUGUUGGGAAAGAAAAGCAGCAGGUUAAUACCCCGCUGUUCUGACGGUACCCAAAGAAUAAGCACCGGCUAACUUCGUG